GGCAUAUGGAGGGUCCCAGGCUAGGGGUCCAGUUGGAGCUGUAGCCGCUGGCCUACACCAGAGCCACAGCAACUCGGGAUCCCAGCCGCAUCUGCAACCUACACCACAGCUCACGGCCAUGCUGGAUCAUUAACCCACUGAUCAAGGUCGGAGAUCGAACCUGCAACCUCAUGGUUCCUAGUUGGAUUCGUUAACCACUGUGCCACGACGAGAACUCCAUGAUUAAACAAAAAUUUUUUUAAACUCACUUUUUUCAUUCUUCCUUUCCUUUAUGGUUUGUGGGGUUUUUUUUGGCGGGGGGAGAUGUAGGUGCGACAUAUGGAGGUUCCCAGGCUAGGGGUCGAAUUGGAGCUGUAGCUGCCAGCCUACACCACAGCCAUAGCCACAGCCACGCCAGAUCCAAGCCACAUCUGUGACCUACACCACAGCUCACGCUGGCUUGCCUGGGAACCUCUAUAUGUCACAGGUGCAGGCUAAAAAAAAAAGCGGGGGGAACCUCCCCUGUCAUAGUCUACAAAAUGGAUGAAUCUACAAGACAUUAGGCCGAGUGAAAUACGCCGGGCACAAAAGGACAAAUAUGAGAUGACUCCCCUUAAACGAGACGUCCAGAGUGGCCCAGUUCAUAGAGACAGCGUUCCAGGUGGUUGUGGGGCAGGGAGCUAUGUUUGCCAGAAACAGAAGUUCAGUUUGGGAAGAUGGAAAGUUCUGGAGCUGGAGGAGGAUGGUAGGGGCUGUAUAACCAUGUGAAUGUGCUAAAUGCCACUGGACUGUGAGAACUGCAGCCACUCUCCACACGAAAUAUCCCCUGAAGCCUUCCAAGCGGCCUGACCCAACUCCGGCACAGCUUCCUGCAGGUGCCUGGGAAGGCCCCACCCUGCUUCUCUCCCAUCUGGACCAACGCAAGGCCACCAAAAGUCACUCUUUGUGCCAGCCAGCCCCUCGCUGAUAGGCCUCUGGCCUCCCUUUCUUGGGGGUAUUUACUAAAAAUAAAAACUUAAAGAAAAACCGAUAACUUACGACUGUAACGCUUUCCUCUGUCCUUUGGAGACUGCGCGUUCCUGCUACAGUGGAGAAUGAUCUUUCUGGAAGACGUCAGAGACGGUCCUUUUAAGCAUCAUGGUCAAGAAAAGCAGAGCCUCAGCCCCCCAGGCUCUGUGGGAGGGGAGACGGCCGGCUGAGCAAAGCCGGUUCGUGGACGCAGCUGACCCAGCGGUGUUUACACGGACCAGCCCUCUCCAGGUUUUUGUAUCGAUUCACUUCCCCGACUCUGCCUGGGCCCAGCCGCUGCUUCUCCCCGCUCCUGGUCUCCCUUGAAAAUGCCCGCUCAUCUCAGGCUCAGCUGUUUCCCCUCCCGAAGGAGUUACCGAAUAAAUCUGUUUCUACAACUUUAACGCACAGCUAGGUUUAAUCUUUGACCACAGCACCCUUAGAAAUGGAAGGUGAUAAGGUUUAUUCGGCGUGGAUCUUAUCCACAAUGAAAGUAAAAUUAAAUUGAGGCGUUCCCGUUGUGGCUUAGUGGGUUAAGAGCCCAACGUAACGUCCAUGAGGGCAAGGAUUCGAUCCCUGGCCUCGCUCAGUGGGCGAAAAGAUCCGAGGUUGCCCUGAGCUGUGGUGUAGGUCGCAGGUGCUGCUCGGAUCUGGCGUGGAUGUGGCUGUGGCUGUGGCGUAGGUUGGUGGCUGCAGCUCCAAUUCGACCCCUAGUCUGGGAA
rnacentral:lncRNA from 1 species